UACGUAGGGUGCAAGCGUUAAUCGGAAUUACUGGGCGUAAAGCGCGCGUAGGCGGCUUUGUAAGUUAGAGGUGAAAGCCCGGAGCUUAACUCCGGAAUUGCCUUUAAGACUGCAUCGCUAGAAUUGUGGAGAGGUAAGUGGAAUUCCGAGUGUAGAGGUGAAAUUCGUAGAUAUUCGGAAGAACACCAGUGGCGAAGGCGACUUACUGGACACAUAUUGACGCUGAGGUGCGAAAGCGUGGGGAGCAAACAGG
rnacentral:rRNA from 1 species